AUGGCCGCGGGCCGGCGUGGGCGUCCGCGCGUCGGGCUGCGCCCCGGGCCCGAGCCAGGAGUCCGGGCCGGGAGGGAGCGCCGGCCCGGCGGGUGGGCGGGGCCGAGGGGCUUCCAGGGCGGCGGAGGGCUCCGCGGGCCGCGGCCGGGACUACUUCCAGGGGCGGUCACGUGUGCCCUAGUUGGGGAACUUUCCAAAUUCCCAGUCCCCGAGGAGGGUCGGGGGCGGCCGGCGAGCGGCGGCGGUGGGGCGGCGAGUGGCGGGCGGCGGGCGGGCGCGGCGCCGGGGGAGCUGGUUACACAAGCACCCGCGUCCACGCACGUGCCCCCCGCGGCCGGAGAGCCGGGGCCGGCCUCGCCCUGCGGCGGCUGCGCUGCGCUGCGCUGCGCUGCCCUGCGGCGGCUGCGCCGGGCCCGGGGACUGUCGGGUGCGCCCCGCUGCGGGCCCCGCUGCUCGGAGGGCUCGGCCCGGCCGUGCGCCGCCACCGACCUGCCGCCUGAGCCCCGGCCCCCUCCACGCCGGCCGAGGGGCGCCGCGCCCGUUGCCCUGCCCGGGGAGCACCACCAGGCGGGCCGGGGCCGCCCAGAGGAGCGGGGCUGCAGCGGGGCCGGAGCGGGGCCGGAGCGGCCUGCGGGUGAAGCGCAGGGAAGUGACGCGCCGCCCGGGGAGGUGCGCCAGGACGCGGAGGCCGCCCGGAGCGGCUGUCCCGGCGCGCGGUGCUCGCAGGCGGCCCUCGCUACGCCCGCGGCGCCCAGAGCGCCCCUCGGAUGGCCCCGGCCCCGGCCCCGGCCCCGCCCUCGCGCUCGGCCUCCCUCCGGGGAGCGCCGCAGGAGGUCGCAACCUGCGGGACCCUCGCGGUCCGUGUCGGUCGGAGCCCGCGUGGGGCGGGGGGAGGCCACACGUAGAAGAGGGAAGCGGGCGGGGGUCCGGGGGAGUAGGGGAGGGCUCCGUCGGGUCUCCAGAACCGAAACCCGCGUGCGCGGCCUGCGGUGGGCCAGAGGCUACGCGGGACGCCCUGCCCUCCAGCUGUGCCGCCGGGUCGCAGGGUUCCGGAGCCGAGCUGCGCUGCCCCGAGCAGCGGAUGCUGCUACCUGGUGGGGGAUGGGAGACGAGGAGCAGGUUCAAGGAAGGGAGGUCGGCGGCGGAAGGCAGAACUUCGCACCUGUGUCUCCGGUUGCCGACCCCGCCCGGGGUCCCUGCCGUGAGCGCGCGCUCCCCUGCGCCUCCCCGGGAGCUGCCCUACCUGGGGAGGAGUCUGCGGUGCCCUGGAAUCCACCUCCCCGGGAGGAAAGGGGCCCGGCGCUGCGCGUCGGAGGCGAGGAGAGGAGGCUUUCCCAUUCCCGGGCACAGGGUUCUUCGGGGGGCGGGGAGGGCGCGCCCCCAGCACCGAAGCGCGGGCCUAGGAGGUCGGCCCACUGCGCUCCCGCUGGCAGGGGGGGGAAGACGGCCCAGGAGUUUCGCGGCUUCCCUGAGCAUGAGCCGCCCUCCCCCCCAGCACUGAACCAAAGGACCCCUGGUGUCGACAGACAGUGGUCAGCCAGACGGUGA
rnacentral:lncRNA from 1 species